GACGAACGCUGGCGGCGUGCUUAACACAUGCAAGUCGAACGGAAAGGCCCUGCUUUUGUGGGGUGCUCGAGUGGCGAACGGGUGAGUAACACGUGAGUAACCUGCCCUUGACUUUGGGAUAACUUCAGGAAACUGGGGCUAAUACCGGAUAGGAGCUCCUGCUGCAUGGUGGGGGUUGGAAAGUUUCGGCGGUUGGGGAUGGACUCGCGGCUUAUCAGCUUGUUGGUGGGGUAGUGGCUUACCAAGGCUUUGACGGGUAGCCGGCCUGAGAGGGUGACCGGCCACAUUGGGACUGAGAUACGGCCCAGACUCCUAAGGGAGGCAGCAGUGGGGAAUAUUGAACAAUGGGCGGAAGCCUGAUGCAGCAACGCCGCGUGCGGGAUGACGGCCUUCGGGUUGUAAACCGCUUUCGCCUGUGACGAAGCGUGAGUGACGGUAAUGGGUAAAGAAGCACCGGCUAACUACGUG
rnacentral:rRNA from 1 species